rnacentral:rRNA from 1 species
GUUCGUUGUCACAAAUGACAGGUUACUGUUGUCGUUGACAAUAAUAAUGUGGGUGAGCACAUUGGCACAGGACUAGCUAGCUAGCGGCAGCUUGCUUGCUUGCUCGCUAGCUAGUCUUGAUGUUUACGCUUGCUUGUUUGACAAAGUUAUCAUGCAUGUGACCUAAAUAUAGACAACUUUUAACAAUGGAUCUCUUGGCUCUUGCAACGAUGAAGAACGCAGUAAAGUGCGAUAUGUAGUGCGAUUUGCAUGAAUCUGUGAGUCAUCUAAUCUUUGAACGCAACUUGCGCCUCUUUGAGGCAUGUCUGUUUGAGUGCCGCAUACCUAUAUGCAGCAAUGCGAUUUGACUCGUGUCUCCGGACUGCAGUCUAAACGUAGCCAGAUGGUGGCCAGUGUCCCACUAGUCCGAGUGCUAAGCAUUCUUGGCUCUAGUGGCGCUGGCUGCUUCAACACUUUAUUAUUUGGCCUCAAAUCAGGCAAGACUACCCGCUGAACUUAAGCAUAUCAAU